UGCGGCUGUAUGGUUCAAAGAUGUGCUGGAGAACACCCAGGACCUCCCAGUACAGGUCAAGGUGACAGUUCUGGGGACUCCAGCUGAGGAGGAUGGUGGAGGGAAAAUAGACCUGUUAAAUGAGGGGGCUUUUGAUAACAUGGACGUAGUGUUCAUGGCUCACCCCCUGCAGGAUGACGCUCCCUAUCUCCCCCUAGUGGCUGAACAUGACGUCAUUAUAAAGUAUCACGGGAAGGCGUCUCACGCCUCGGCCUACCCCUGGGAGGGAGUGAAUGCUCUGGACGCGGCGGUGCUGUGCUACAACAGUCUGUCUGUUGAAGUCGGACUGGAGAGUUCACGGUGAACACAUGAUGAGUCUGUGUCCUCAGGUGUGUUUCUCUGAGGAGUUCACUGAGCUCUGGUUUAACUGUGUCAUUCAGGUAUCAUAAAGCACGGAGGAGAGAAACCCAACAUCAUCCCUGCCUUCACUCAGCUGGAGAACUAUCUGAGGACUCCAUCCCGGGCCGAGCUUCUUCUCCUGAAAUCCAAAGCUGAGGGGUGUUUCAGAGCAGCUGCUGAGGCCACUGGAUGUCGGGUUGAAGUGGAGUAUUCGAAAAAUGCUUUUGACAACAUAUUGAGGAAUAAAACUCUGGAGGAUUUGUACGAGAACAAUGGAAAGGCUCUGGGGAUGGAGUUCACCACGGAUGAAGAAGUCCUGAACAACGCUUCUGGUGAGACUCAUUUAAAAAAA